rnacentral:rRNA from 1 species
ACAACUUUCAACAAUGGAUCUCUUGGCUCUGGCAUCGAUGAAGAACGCAGCGAAAUGCGAUAAGUAGUGUGAAUUGCAGAAUUCAGUGAAUCAUCGAAUCUUUGAACGCACAUUGCGCCCCUCGGUAUUCCGUGGGGCAUGCCUGUUCGAGCGUCAUCUACACCCUCAAGCU